ensembl:lncRNA
ACCGUCUGGAUGUUCCUCGUUCCUGUCUGCCUUUUUGUCCCCGGUUCUUGCGUGUGUUUUUGCCCGUAGGCCUUUUACUUUGUGGAGUUUUUCACUGUUAGUCUGUUUUUCGUUAAAGUCUGCUUUUGAGUCCUGCCUUCCUACCCAAACCCUGACUAAAUAGUCAUAGUAUGCUGGAACAUGCCAUACAAAUGUAUGUUAUCAUUAAAAGUAUAAAGUAAAAGUAUAAUAUUUUGUUCAAGAAACGGUUUCCAGUUACACAGUAAAUCCUCUCACGUGACGCUAAUCACAAACUUGUAGUCCUCUCCACCCACAUUCUGCAUGUAGAACCUCCACCUCCAGCCUCCAGCAGUGAACAGCAUCCAUCCUGGAGCAGCCAUCGAUGUCUCCGAUGUGUUUCUUGCAGCACUACAAGUAGAUCUCCAACCUCCUGCAGCCUCUGCCUGCACCUUCAAAUACUUGCUCUCAGGCACUGUCUGCACCUCCACCUCUACCUGAAGAUAUUCACUAACCUUUUGCAGAAACAUCCACCGUUUACAAAAUCAACGUACAAAUUCUCUAAUUUUUCAGAGGUUUCAGUUUAUCGACUGACUCAGUCUGGUGAAUAGAAUCUUUUAGAGAACAAACAGAUAAUAAGUGUAAUAAGAGUCUACCGGGCUGCUGGAUUCAAGCUUUUUAUUUUUAAAUAAUAACAAUCAACACACUU